GCUCAGUAACACGUGGAUAACCUACCCUUAGGACUGGGAUAACCCUGGGAAACUGGGGAUAAUACUAGAUAGGCAAGCUUUCCUGGAAUGGUUUUUUGUUUAAAUGUUUUUUCGCCUAAGGAUGGGUCUGCGGCCGAUUAGGUAGUUGGUUAGGUAACGGCUUACCAAGCCAUUGAUCGGUACGGGUUGUGAGAGCAAGAGCCCGGAGAUGGAACCUGAGACAAGGUUCCAGGCCCUACGGGGUGCAGCAGGCGCGAAACCUCCGCAAUGUGAGAAAUCGCGACGGGGGGAUCCCAAGUGCCAUUCUUAACGGGAUGGCUUUUCAUUAGUGUAAAGAGCUUUUGGAAUAAGGGCUGGGCAAGACCGGUGCCAGCCGCCGCGGUAACACCGGCAGCUCUAGUGGUAGCAGUUUUUAUUGGGCCUAAAGCGUCCGUAGCCGGUUUAAUAAGUCUCUGGUGAAAUCCUGUAGCUUAACUGUGGGAAUUGCUGGAGAUACUAUUAGACUUGAGACCGGGAGAGGUUAGAGGUACUCCCAGGGUAGAGGUGAAAUUCUGUAAUCCUGGGAGGACCGCCUGUUGCGAAGGCGUCUAACUGGAACGGUUCUGACGGUGAGGGACGAAAGUUAGGGGCGCGAACCGGAUUAGAUACCCGGGUAGUCCUAACUGUAAACGAUGCGGACUUGGUGUUGGGGUGGCUUUGAGCUGCUCCAGUGCCGAAGGGAAGCUGUUAAGUCCGCCGCCUGGGAAGUACUGUCGCAAGACUGAAACUUAAAGGAAUUGGCGGGGGAGCACCGCAACGGGAGGAGCGUGCGGUUUAAUUGGAUUCAACACCGGAAAACUCACCAGCGGCGACUGUUACAUGAAAGUCAGGCCGAUGACCUUACUAGAUUUUCAGAGAGGUGGUGCAUGGCCGUCGUCAGUUCGUACCGUAAGGCGUUCUCUUAAGUGAGAUAACGAACGAGACCCUCACCAAUAGUUGCUACUCCAUCCUCCGGGGUGGAGGCACACUAUUGGGACCGCUGGCGCUAAGUCAGAGGAAGGAGAGGUCAACGGUAGGUCAGUAUGCCCCGAAUCUGCUGGGCUACACGCGCGCUACAAAGGGCGGGACAAUGGGCUCCGACACCGAAAGGUGAAGGUAAUCCCGAAACCCGUCCGUAGUUCGGAUUGAGGGUUGUAACUCACCCUCAUGAAGCUGGAUUCCGUAGUAAUCGCGAAUCAACAACUCGCGGUGAAUAUGCCCCUGCUCCUUGCACACACCG
rnacentral:rRNA from 1 species